UGAUAGCUCAACUAUUAGGCUUCGGGGGAUACUGCCAGACUGGAACCGGGAGAGGUAAGAGGUACUACAGGGGUAGGAGUGAAAUCUUGUAAUCCCUGUGGGACCACCUGUGGCGAAGGCGUCUUACCAGAACGGGUUCGACGGUGAGGGACGAAAGCUGGGGGCACGAACCGGAUUAGAUACCCGGGUAGUCCCAGCCGUAAACGAUGCUCGCUAGGUGUCAGGCAUGGCGCGACCGUGUCUGGUGCCGCAGGGAAGCCGUGAAGCGAGCCACCUGGGAAGUACGGCCGCAAGGCUGAAACUUAAAGGAAUUGGCGGGGGAGCACAACAACGGGUGGAAGCCUGCGGUUUAAUUGGACUCAACGCCGGACAACUCACCGGGGGCGACAGCAAUAUGUAGGCCAAGCUGAAGACUUUGCCUGAAUCGCUGAGUAGAGGUGCAUGG
rnacentral:rRNA from 1 species